CUUUUUCUUCUCCAGGUUCCGAAGUUUCUUGUUGAUUACCCCGAGGAUCUGCUUCAUGGCCUCGGUCUGGACCGCGCCCGUGCCGGAUGCUGGGUGCUGAGUAGCAGGAGCAGCUGCCCCGGCCGCUGCCGCUGUCUCACUACUGGAGGAACCCGAUGGGGGUGGCGAUCCGGAAGACUUGCUGCCGCUUCCGCUGUGGCUGGUGGCCAAGGGCAUCUUUGAGACUGAGAGGAGAGAGAAGAAAAAGCGGGAGGAAGGACAAGAGCAGAUUGUCCUUUCAUCAUCUGUAUGACCUAUCCCUUCCACACUCCAGAUAAACUCUGCUUCAUUCUUGACCUGAUGAAUGGACUGGACGGGGCAGAGGGACCAAAGCUGUGGCUGGAGAGGGCCCCGGGGAGCUUUCAGGAUACUAUAAAUUCAGUCUUGAAUGAGGACAGAGACGCACUGGUGGAGAUUCGCAUUAUCACCUCUCACAGCACGGAGUGUUUUCUGAGAAGGAGAUGAGGUUUUAUGCCACAGAAAUUAUUCUGGGGCUGGAGCACAUGCACAGCCGCUUUGUGGUCUACAGAGACUUGAAGACAGGAUCUUGAAUUUUUUGAUGCUCCUGCCUGAGCCUCCCAGAGUGCUGGAAUUACCACCGCUUGACAUGCAACGUUUUCAAAAGAAGGAGGCUUUUUGUGACUAAGAACAAAGGCUUCAGAGCCACUUGGUCUGGGUUUGAAUCUCUUUUCCAGGUUGUCUGAACCUCAUUUCUCUCUUCUAUAAAGAGGAGAGCACCAUGGCAUCUCCCUCCUGGGGUGGUGUGAAGUGAGGAGCCCAAUAAGUAAUUCGGUAAGUAUUUCACACUCACUCUGUGCCAGGUACAGCAGUGAGACAGAACUAACUGGUCCCUGACCUGGAACCAGAAGCCCAGGGAACUUUGUUCGUUAAAUGACCAGCAUGAAGGGAGGGAGUGAAACCAGCAGCAUUGGCUGUGUCAUCAGUUGGAUGCCAGCUGUUCUAGGCCUCGCCAGCUGCUCUGAAUAUAUCUUCAUGGAAACCCCAUAAAUCACGGUUAUUGUUACCAACUUUUUGUGGUAUGCAAAUUGAGGUCCUGAGAAAUUAAGUCCCUUGACCAAGGUCAUGUGACUGUCCACAUUGUGGCUGGAAUUACAACCCACCUCUGUCAGAUGCCAAAGCCCGUGCUCUUUACAUUAUAUGGGUGAACACCCUGAGGCUUUGAAAUCAUCUAUAGUGCUUGAUGCUAGAUUAAAGAUUUUUGUCCAGUAUUUCACCCUGCAUUUGAUGUCUCAGUUCUAUUCAAAGCUGUAGCUGUGAUGCUCAGACUUCAUCUGCUGGACAUUCCAUUUUUUGGUUAGUGUUGUGGUUGAAGUUCCUGAUCUGAGCUUAGACUUGGUCCAUUUAGUGCCAGAGUCAAAAAUUAUUAUAAACUUGAUUCAUUCAACUGUGGAAUGGCCACAAGAAUUUUUUAUUUUUGAAACAGGGCCUUGUUAUGUAGUUUGGGCUGGCCUCAAACUCUGGCAAUCCUCCUGCCUCAGCCUCCUGAGUGCUGGGAUUAUAGGUGUGCACUACCAUGCCUGGCCAUUAGCCACAAGAAUUUAAAGGAAAACUUUUGCAGUUGGACAGAUUGUGACUAAUUUGGUUCCUAGCUUAUUUUAUUUAGGAACAUAAAGCUGUGUCUCAUGUCACAGUGUCUUAAAUGUUCAAGUGUUCUUCAGUAUUAAUAGUAAUCCAAAUCUUUAGCAAACUGCUACAGAGCAUUAGUAGCUGCUGGUAGGCAGAAUCAGAAAGGCACAGUGCCGGCAAUCCAAUGUUUUGCUUUAAUUUCAUCCAGUGUAUACUUAGAGUUGAUCUGCAUUAACUGUUGUGUUUAUUCUUCUAGAUGUCUGUCCAUUCCAGAGUUGUUAUUUGAUCGUGAGAAUUAUGGGCUAAGAGAUCACCACAAAGGGCUUUUCCAGGCAACGCUGAAAAUUUAAACCUUCCCAGUAAAGGCUUUGGAUGCCCUUGUAAAGAUCCCUGAUAGCAUGCUCAGCAUGCCUCAGUGAUCCUACCCUGGACCUUUCCAAGAGCUGGAUCUGCCUUCGUGGCCCAAAGCCCAUUGCUACCUUUUACUAAAGCUCUUUCAAAACAUCCGUCUUAGACAGGGGCUGCUGGCUCCGUGAUGAUCUGGGAUCCUGAGUAAGCUUCUGAGCAGAUCUUUAGCUGUGCCUAAGCAUAAAUAUGUUACAAAUGAUUAUACCAGGUAAGAGAAAAGAUUAGAUCCCCAACAUGGAUUGAGCUCUUAUUAUAUUCCAGCACCAUUCUUACCCUGUGCUAUAUCUUCACAGCACCCCUGAGAGGUAGCAGCAGCAUCUUAUUACCCAUUCUAUUGAUGAGGGAAAUUACUGAGGGCUGGAAAGGUUGCAGGGCAUACAGAGAAUGGAUUUUCCAAGGCCACCCUGGGCUGUAUCUUGGAGAGCUCCCUAGAGCUCCUCUGGCCUCUCAUGAUGGAACAGUGUGUGUGCUCAGCUCUUAAUGAUCUGGUGUAGACAGAGGGGACCAUAUAAAAAUGGGUAUCCUCCCAAGAGAUUUCUCAUCAUCCUGCUAAUCAUCUUCAUGUGUGCUUAGUACUGAGUCCUUAGACUUCUAGCAAGUGUUAAAGCCUGAUGUAGCAUCUCUACCUCAUGUCCUUGGUGCUUCUAUUCCCCACCCCACCCCAGUCCCCUGGGCCUUUUUUGCCCUGAACAAGCAGCCCUACUGUUGGCACAUGUGAGGUCCUCGCAUGGCGAGGAGUGGAUGUUUCCCUGCCCUCGGGUGUACAGCACUGUACCACAGUCACCUGCCCACUGCCUCUCCUUCCUCCCUGGUCCCCAGGUAUCCUGUACCAGAGCCUUUGAAAAGGCAGGAGACCUUUAGCCCUUUGUGAUGGGACAAAAGGAGUUAAGGGACUUUGAGAUUCAGAUUUAACCUCCUGGACUCAGGGACUCCCGUCUGCACAUUUACAUGCUGGAUUAAGUCAUUUAUGUGAAUUUACUCAUACUAAAUGUGGAGAAGACUGGACAUGUGGUGCAUAGUGUGUAUGGAAGCAGGUGUGCCCUCUCCUUGGUACAUAGUCAUUGCUCUCUCACACAGCGUCUGUACCUCCUGGUCAACUGUCAUUGUACUGUCCUAAGGUGAGCGUGCUCUGAUGACCACUUGUCCUGUCUUCUCUGUAGGGGCACCCAUGGGUACAUGGCUCCUGAGGUGCUGCAGAAGGGGACAGCCUAUGAUAGCAGUGCCGACUGGUUCUCCCUGGGCUGCAUGCUUUUCAAACUUCUGAGGGGGACAAGAUUACACCAGCUGAAGACAUCCUGGGAGGAACAAAAUCUUCAUCUACUCAGUUCCUCAUUGUUCCUGGAUUGUCACAUCUUGUUUACCUGGAUAUACUGAACUCUCUGCAAGUCAUUUGUUACAUUUGUUUCUCCUAAAAGGUGCGUAAGCUGGGGCCUUUUGUUUUUGCUGCCCAGAGCAGCACCGAUCAGACCCAAAGCUCAGCUUCUUCUCAAAAUCUCAUUUUUUUACCUUUCCUGUGAUUCACCUUGUACUGCCAUGGCUCGCAGGAGACUAGGACUUACUGCAGAGGUUCUAGUUACCUCCCCUUUACCUGUUCCCUACAGACCAGAACAAUCAACCCCAGCAUUAGAAGGCCAUCUUACUGAGGGGAUUGUUUUCAUGCUGCCCUACUGCAACAUGACUGCAGGCAUGCUUGGGGGAAGGGGGCUUGCAGUUUGACACAAGAAUGUCCAUUGAAACAUCUGAGCUGCCGAAGAAGGAGCAUUCUCUCACAGAUAACAAGCUCCCCAUUGCUGUCUAGUGACCGUGGAUUGAGCCUGAAAUGGAAAGCCUGAAAUGGCAGAAUCCUUCCUGUAUAUGACAGAUAUACCCACCAGGAUUUAUGAUCUUACACCGUCCUUUCUAUUACUUAUUUAAAUGACCUGCAUGAAAAGGAUACAGCACUCAAACCAAAGAGCAGGAAAUGUGUUUUGACUUAAGUGAUUUAAAUAAGUUGAUAAACAUCUAUUGAAUACUCAGAAUACAGAAGAGGCUGCUGGAUGCAGUGGAGGGAGGGAGGGAGGGAGGGGUCCACUCACACAGGACAGG